rnacentral:ncRNA from 1 species
UUUAAAACGCUGAAGAGGAUAAGUAGCUUAGAAAACAAGGAUCUAAAGAGAGCUGGUGGAGCUGAGAACCGGCGGUCCCUUUUUAAGUGAACUCGCCUCUGAGUGCUGAUUUGAAGUUUAGUAGAAUCAGCCGGGUGUCAUUUACACAGCACUCGUUAUUAAAAAGAAAGCCAAGUGCUUUCAUAAGGUGGUCUAAUGCAGACCAUGAACAAGGGUGGUACCGCGAAAAGUGUUUUCAAACCUUCUCGCCCCUUUG